rnacentral:rRNA from 1 species
AUUGAACGCUGGCGGCAGGCCUAACACAUGCAAGUCGAACGAGUGGCGGACGGGUGAGUAAUGUCUGGGAAACUGCCUGAUGGAGGGGGAUAACUACUGGAAACGGUAGCUAAUACCGCAUACCAUCAGAUGUGCCCAGAUGGGAUUAGCUUGUUGGUGGGGUAACGGCUCACCAAGGCGACGAUCCCUAGCUGGUCUGAGAGGCUGACCAGCCACAAUGGAACUGAGACACGGGCCAGACGCCUACGGGAGGCAGCAGUGGGGAAUAGGGAACAAUGGGCGCAAGCCUGAUGCAUCCAUGCCGCGUGUAUGAAGAGGGCCUUCGGGUGGUGAAGGACUUGCAGCGGGGAGGCGUUACCCGCAGAAGAAGCACCGGCUAACUCCGUGCCAGCAGCCGCGGUAAUUC